rnacentral:rRNA from 1 species
CGGAGGGUGCAAGCGUUGUCCGGAUUUAUUGGGUUUAAAAGGGUGCGUAGGCGGCUUUAUAAGUCCGUGGUGAAAGCCAACAGCUCAACUGUUGAACUGCCAUGGAUACUGUAAGGCUUGAGUACAGACGAGGUAGGCGGAAUGGAUAGUGUAGCGGUGAAAUGCAUAGAUACUAUCCAGAACACCGAUUGCGUAGGCAGCUUACUAGGCUGUAACUGACGCUGAGGCACGAAAGCGUGGGAGCGACAGGAUU